AUGAUGAUGAUCGCCCGGCGCUGCGCGGAGCUGCUGUGCUCCCCCGAAAGCCACGACAGGAGACGGCGGCUCCAGACACACACACAGAGAGAGAGAGAGAGAGAGACGCGCGCACACACACACACACACACACACACACACACACACACACACAGACGCGUUUCCUUAAAGACACAAAAGACGGGACCCGGGCGGACAGCAGCAGUCAGAGCAGACAGCGGACAGCACGGCGUCCUCUUGGACCUGCUCAGCACAUCGAUCGAACUGGUGAUCAUGCUCUUCAUUCAUGUUGUAUGAACAACAAGUAUGUUGUUGAAGGGCCAUAUGUGUGAGUUGGUGAACGAGUCCAGGGUACAUAAGAAAGGUGUUUUGCUCCUCCUGGGACAGACACCUGUCUCAGUUUGACCAAGGGUUAGACUGCCGUCGGCCGCCUGCCACCUGAACUGAGCUGCUCCACUUGAAGGAAUUAUCUCACUUGUUACUCGCUAUGAGGACCGAACUGAGCCGCGAGGCCGGAGGAUGUUUCUAGAUAAAGUUCGCAGUGCGAAGGUGUCAACGUUUGUAAAAUGGUAGUUUUAGGACACCAUCGUGAUGAAAAUGGACCGCAUGUGUUCUUCAUUAUCCGGCGGAGGAAGGCUGCCGACAUCAAAGCGUCGGAGAACGUUUGCACGCCAUCGCCUUGAGAAGGAUACGGAUGAUAUGUAAUAACUUUGGACAUUUGCGAUUUCUGCCGCGGUAUGGUCUCCUUGCAAAGAACUCUUUUCUACCCUGCUGGGCUACCCAAGUGAUUCAAGGACUUUGACGCUGAGAAAUUUUAAAUUGAUGGCAGUGUUGUGCUUUGAGCAGGAGACAUGCAUUUGUUUUCUCUAGUACAGGGAACCGUGGUGGUUUACCAGAUCACAGCCUCCUCGCGCGCUUUAAUACAUUGUACGUUUACGUGCUACGGUUUUGAUACAGCUAACCUCCUUGGAAACAAAACCUGAUGAUAUGAUUUAUAAUCAGCAGGUAGUGUAGUGGUUAGACCUAAAGGCGGCAGGUUCAAUUCCCACCUCUGGCUGUAGUACCCUUGAGCAAGGUACUUACCCUAAAUUGCUCCAGUAAAAUUACCCAGCUAUAUAAAUGGGUAAAUAAUUGUAAACAUCUUAAUGUUGUGUAUCUCGUUGGAAAAAAUCAUCCACCCAAUGAAUCAAUAUUAAAUUGGCCUAUUGGAAGGGGCAGCUAGUAGUGUAGUAAUUAGAGCUACUGCCUUUAGAUCCCAAGGUUGCAGGUUCAAUCCCCCUCUGGCUGUAGUACCCUU
rnacentral:lncRNA from 1 species